GACGAACGCUGGCGGCGUGCUUAACACAUGCAAGUCGAACGGAAAGGCCCUGCUUUUGUGGGGUGCUCGAGUGGCGAACGGGUGAGUAACACGUGAGUAACCUGCCCUUGACUUUGGGAUAACUUCAGGAAACUGGGGCUAAUACCGGAUAGGAGCUCCUGCUGCAUGGUGGGGGUUGGAAAGUUUCGGCGGUUGGGGAUGGACUCGCGGCUUAUCAGCUUGUUGGUGGGGUAGUGGCUUACCAAGGCCUUGACGGGUAGCCGGCCUGAGAGGGUGACCGGCCACAUUGGGACUGAGAUACGGCCCAGACUCCUACGGGAGGCAGCAGUGGGGAAUAUUGCACAAUGGGCGGAAGCCUGAUGCAGCAACGCCGCGUGCGGGAUGACGGCCUUCGGGUUGUAAACCGCUUUCGCCUGUGACGAAGCGUGAGUGACGGUAAUGGGUAAAGAAGCAUCGGCUAACUACGUG
rnacentral:rRNA from 1 species